UCGGGAAUUUUGGGCAAUGGGCGAAAGCCUGACCCAGCAACGCCGCGUGAAGGAUGAAGUAUUUCGGUAUGUAAACUUCGAAAGAAUAGGAAGAAUAAAUGACGGUACUAUUUAUAAGGUCCGGCUAACUACGUGCCAGCAGCCGCGGUAAGACAGAGGCCACGAACGUUGUUCGGAAUCACUGGGCAUAAAGCGCACGUAGGCGGCUAGGUCCGUCCGAUGUGAAAGCCCCCGGCUCAACCGGGGAAUUGCAUCGGAUACAGCCUGGCUUGAGGACGGUUGGGGUGAGUGGAACUCCUGGUGGAGCGGUGAAAUGCGUAGAUAUCAGGAGGAACACCGGUGGCGAAAGCGGCUCACUGGACCGUUACUGACGCUGAGGUGCGAAAGCUAGGGGAGCAAACGGGAUUAGAUACCCUCGUAGUCCCUGAGCGGGCUGGCAAGGCGCAU
rnacentral:rRNA from 1 species